rnacentral:rRNA from 1 species
UAAGACUUUAAUGGUCGAACAGACCAACCCUUACCAGCCCCUACACCAAUAGGAAGUCCUGAUCCAACAUCGAGGUCAUAAACUCUUUUAUCAAUGUGAACUCUCCAAAAAAAUUAUGCUGUUAUCCCUGCAGUAGCUUUUUAUUAUAGUACUUAAUAAAUACAAAAAAAUUAAAUUAUAGCCAAGGAUUACUCUCCUUAGCUGUUGCCCCAACAAAAAACAAAUACUAUCACAAAACAUAAUAAAAAUUAAAAGCUUGACAGGGUCUUCUUGUCUAACAAUAAAAAAUAAGCUUUUUCACUUAUAAAUAAAAUUAUUAAAAAAAUCUUUGAGACAGUCUAAAUCCGUCAAACCAUUCAUUUAGCCACCAAUUAAAAGGUAAAUUAUUACGCUACCUUCGCACAGUCAGGGUACUGCAGCCGUUAAAAUUCCUCACCGGGCAGGUACUACUUGCCAU